AUUAUAAAGAGCUAUAUAUUGUUAGUAUAUAAAUAUUAUGAAAACAAAAAAUUAUGGCGGUACUUUAAACUUUUCAGAGGAAUUUGCUCUUUAAUGGAUAAAACACCUAAAUCUUACUAAAAUUAGUUAAUUCAGCUUGUAUACCACUAUCAAAGUAAUAAUUUAUAAUUAUUACUAUAAUUUUUUAUAUUAUAGAAAUUAAAUUAAGUCAUGGUGCAGCUUAAAUUUUAGGAUGAAGUGAAUUACAUUUCUUUUAAGAAAAUUGAAAUUUAAAAUUAUUUAUUUGGAUUUGAAAGUAAAAGUGUAAUAUAAUGACAUUUUGAAUUGAGUUCUAAAGUAUGUAC
rnacentral:rRNA from 1 species